AUCGGCCCGAUGUCGCUAGCGCUCCACCAAUCCCUCGCACGCCUCCUCCUCUCCCAAAUCCCCAAUCCCGUCGCCCGGUUCCUCCUCCCCAAUCCCAGGCCUCGCACCGCGCCCCAUUCCCCGACGCUCCUCUCCAUCGGCGGCAUCCGCUGCUUCGCGCCGCCACCCCGUCGUCAUUGCUAGGGCCGCCUCCCCUUCCCGCCCCUUCCUUCCUCAGCGCACGUCGUCGUCCCCACCCCGACGCUCGCCGUCAUAGCCUUCUUCGUCGAGUCAGCGCUCGAGGACGCGGAGCAGAAGCCCUCCAUAGGGGCGCUCGUGCUGGAGACGGCGGCGAGGUGAGCACGAAGGAGUUGCAGCCUUGAGGCACCUCCACCUCGCGCCCCACCCCAUCUCUCACCCAAUCUCCUCCCUCUCCACUCCACAUCGUGGUAGAGCCGCCGCCACCACGCCAUAUCCUCGUCGAGCCACCACCCCAUGUAGUGGUCGACCUUGUCGCGUUGCCGUCGCCGUCGCCUGGAGGGAGCAUAGGCGGCCGCUCGCACCACCACCGCGGGAUGUCGCCAUUACCGGGAGGAGGUUUGCGGAAGGGGAAUCGGCAGAUUGAUGCGGGGGAUUGAGCAAAGAGUGAACGAGGGUGGCCUCGGGCCGCCAGCGAGCUCGCCCUCUCGUCCUCAUGGGGGACGCUGUCGUCCGGGCAACGUCUUCCUGUGCGGUCUCCGGCUCUAUCGGGAGAUUUAGGAUGACGGUCUACGCGGCCUUCGCUCUUCGGUACUGUCGGGAGAUUGAGGCGGACGGUCUACGCGGCCUCCGGCACUGUCGGGAGAUUGGGGAGGAUGGUCGUCCAGCUCAGAGAUCCGGCCUCCUCAUCUCCAUCCACAUCACCAGGACGCGCACCUGUAGCUUGACCCUUACACCGUCCUCUGAAGUGCUUCUCCCAGAUAUGGCUCAACACUGUUGAUUCAACAGGGCUUGGUGAUGCGGCUCCGGCACAGGCUGUAUGGCCUUGUUUUCCAAGAUUGAUAUGUCAUCGGAGAUGAUUCGCUGACUAGAUGAGCAAGGUAACCAAGCUGAGGAGAGACCUGUUGAUUUGGACUUGCGGGAGCGUGUCUCAGAUGGCUACAUUAUCGGGGUUUUCGGAUUUCCUCUUCAUAUGUUAUUCUAUAGUCGAGCUGAUUGAAGUGUACUGUUGCAACUUGUGUGUAUGUGUUUACCAAUGCUGCAGUAGGUAAAUGAAUUUUAAUGGGCAUACACAUUAGAAGAAAUCAAUGUGUUUCACGAUGAAAUAUGAUUUACAAGUGCAUGAGGAAGGACAUUUUCUUUGAACUUACUGUUUGCAAAUUCUCAGAUAGGGAUUUAUAUGUACACAGACUUAGUAGGUUCAGUCUCUUCACAUUCAUUUUAUCAUAUUGCGGAUGCCACCAUCCCAAAUGAUUUUUUCACCAGAAAUUCAUGGAUAUACAGUUUGUGAUGUGUUCUCUGCUCCAUUGCCUGUGACCACUGGCCCCUCAGCUUGCAGAUGCCGCCGUCAUUGCUUGGUUGGGAUGGGCGCCACGAGAUUUGGUGUGGUCGAGCACCAUCGAGGGCCUAUCAUCAGCAAUCAAUUACGCUUCGCAACACAUUUUUGGUUAAAAUGGUAGUGAUGUUUCAAAUAUGACCUUGCUGCAUCUGGUCCUUCCAAAGUCUGCUGGGUUCCUACAUGUGUCCAGAUCUAUGUAACUAUUGACUACACACGAGUGGUGAACUUAAGUAUUGAGCGAGGGAAGAAAAUGUCACCAAGAUUACUUCAGUUAAAGGAAGAGGCCUACCGCUAUGACUUCGAUGGGAAUCCUACAGAUUACGAGGUUUGAUCAUCGUUACCUGAACUAUCACUACUUGUGUGUCAGUACCUCUGGUCUCUGUUUCGAGUAUUGAUCUCUGAUCAUGGAGUCAUUGUGUUUGAACAGCUUUGCUUUAAACCUGAAUGGUACCCACUCCAUGUGUUUAGCUAUUGUAAUCUCUGAACAAUGUGUUCAUGUCUGUAUUGUAAUAUAUUUUCCUAUUUUCUCACUUGUGUUUGGCACAUUUCUCUACUUCAUUAUCUGUAAUUACCUCUCUGAUGGUGAAUGGAAUGUUAACCACUCAUGUUUCCUCUA